rfam:Brassica oleracea var. oleracea cultivar TO1000 chromosome C9, whole genome shotgun sequence
GGAAUUUAAGAAACUGUUUCUUAACUUUUAACUAAAAAAACUAAGAACCGGUUAUUAAAUAAAGUCUUUAAAAACCGGUUCUUAGCUUUUUUAGUUAAAAGUUAAGAAACAAUUUCUUAACUUCC